CUACUUUUGGUAAUGAUGUUAAGAAUACCCAACAUCGACCCCCAGUACAAAAUCCCUGAUAAUACUGUAAGUACUCUAAACCGAUGCUUCAAUCCUUUCAUUUUCACUUUUCAUCUGUAUCUUACUUCUCUUGUUACAUGCAGGUUGAUGACACACCCCCAUUGGUCAGCAGGAGUGGUAAGCCGAUUGAGCUUCUCCCAUCGGGCCCAAUCUCUUUGAAUGGCAACAACGCUCCAACCUUGGCUACUAUAAUGCAUCGGGGUGUGCGUCUCAAGAAAGUUACCACCAAGAGGGUGAAGAUAUCCCCAUCGGUAGCUGCUUCUACCCUAGCACAAGCCUUCAAGCACACCGGUACAUCGGCAAAGACCAAAAGUAUGACUGCCGAUGCCCCCAGCCCAGUCAACCGAAGAGAAAAGGUUCCAAGAGUACCAUAUUACAAGCAAAACGCCAGAGAACAGUAACGCCUUCUCCUCCCCUAGUAUCUCCGAUUCUAGUAGAAUCAUCCCCUUCUCCUCCAGAAGCCCAGAUACAACCAGCACCGUCUCCUCUUCAACCACAAGAAGAAAUCCAAAUAGAAGAACUUCAGCCAAAAGAACCUCAACCAGAAGUACCUCAGCCAGAAGAAACAUCGACUGAUGUACGCGAGCAGACUGCCGAUCCAGCAAGCUUAAUCAUAGCAUCGGUAGUUUCCUCGAUUUAGACUAGUACUGCACCUCCCCAAGCUGACAUAGUCUCAUUGGCAAUCCCAGCCGACCAACCUGUGGUUCCAUCGGCUUCAACUAGUCAGAGGCGAGAAAUAGCUCUGAAGCAAGAACAGGAUUCUCCCGACAGCUUGUUCUCCUUCGCCAUCGAGAUCUCUGAAGAUGAAGGCG